GUGGGGAAUAUUGGACAAUGGGCGCAAGCCUGAUCCAGCCAUGCCGCGUGAGUGAUGAAGGCCCUAGGGUUGUAAAGCUCUUUCAGUGGGGACGAUAAUGACGGUACCCACAGAAGAAGCCCCGGCUAACUUCGUGCCAGCAGCCGCGGUAAUACGAAGGGGGCUAGCGUUGUUCGGAUUUACUGGGCGUAAAGCGCACGUAGGCGGAUCGUUAAGUCGAGGGUGAAAUCCUGGAGCUCAACUCCAGAACUGCCUUCGAUACUGGCGAUCUUGAGUCCGGAAGAGGUGAGUGGAACUCCUAGUGUAGAGGUGGAAUUCGUAGAUAUUAGGAAGAACACCAGUGGCGAAGGCGGCUCACUGGUCCGGUACUGACGCUGAGGUGCGAAAGCGUGGGGAGCAAACAGGAUUAGAUACCCUAGUAGUCC
rnacentral:rRNA from 1 species